AUGUCUCGGCUGCUCCUGGCGGCCGCCGUGGCCACGCUCGUGCUCGCCGUCGGAGCGUUCGAAAUCGAGGAGGCGACUCUGGCCAGCAUCCAGCUCGGCUUCAAGAACGGCAGCCUCACCUCCGUGGAGCUCGUCCGGCUCUACCUGGACCGCAUCCGCCGCCUCAACCCGCUCCUCCGCGCUGUCAUCGAGGUCAACCCGGACGCGCUCCGCCAUGCCGCUCGUGCCGACGCGGAGCGCCGCUCGGCCUCCCCUGUCAAAUACCUCGCCGGCGGCGGGCUCCUGCACGGCGUCCCCAUCCUCCUCAAGGACAACAUCGCCACGCACGACGCGCUCAACACCACAGCCGGCUCCUUGGCGCUGCUGGGGUCCUUGACGAGGCGGGACGCCGGCGUGGUGCGCCGCCUCCGCCUGGCCGGCGCGGUGGUGCUCGGCAAGGCCAACCUCGACGAGUGGGCCAACUUCCGCAGCCUGCAUGGCUCAGACGGCUGGAGUGCGCGCGGCGGACAGGCUCGGAAUCCGUACGUGCUCUCGGCUGAUCCGUGCGGGUCGAGCGGGGGUUCGGCUAUCGCCACGGCGGCAAACAUGGUCGCGGUGACGCUGGGAACGGAGAGGGACGGCUCCAUACUCUGCCCGGCGUCGCUGAACUCGGUGGUCGGGAUCAAACCCACGGUGGGGUUGACCAGCCGGGCCGGAGUCAUCCCCACCACACCACGGCAAGACACCAUCGGACCUAUUUGCCGCACGGUAGCAGAUGCAGUCCAUGUGUUGGACGCCAUUGUUGGCUACGAUGCCCGGGAUGCAGCAGCCACGAGGAGAACUUCCAAAUACAUUCCCCGUGGUGGGUAUAUGCAGUUCUUAAACAUGGAUGGAUUAAAGGGGAAGAGAAUCGGUGUCCCCAACGGCUUCUUCAACUUCCCGGAUGGAACUGUGCAGCAGACGGUUUACGGGCAACAUCUCAACACAAUGAGGAAACAAGGAGCUAUUCUUAUUGAGAACCUGGACAUAGAAAAUUUAGAUAUCAUAAUGGAUAACCUUAACAAUGGGCAACAGAUUGCAUUACCAGCAGAGUUCAAGUUAAGCCUCAACUCUUACCUAUUAGACUUAUCCUACUCCCCAGUUCGAUCACUUGCAGAGAUCAUUGCUUUCAACAAUGCACAUCCCAUCGAGGAGAGGCUGAAAGAAAUCGGGCAGAUCAUCUUCCUGGCGGCCGAGAACACGACUGGCAUCGGUGCUCCAGAGAGAGCAGCGAUCCGUCAGCUUAAGAAGCUGUCCGCCAAUGGGCUGGAGAAGUUGAUGAAGGAGCACAAGCUAGAUGCCAUCGUGAUGCCCAACGCUGAUGCAUCCUCGGCGCUCGCCAUUGGUGGCAUGCCGGGCAUAUCCGUGCCGGCCGGGUACGGCAAGAUGGGGGUGCCAUUUGGUCUCUGCUUUGGUGGGUUGAGGGGGUACGACCCGAGGUUGAUUGAGAUGGCAUACGCGUUCGAGCAAAACACCAAGGUCAGGAAAGCUCCCAUGUUCAUGCCAUAG
rnacentral:rRNA from 1 species